AUACGUAGGGUGCGAGCGUUGUCCGGAAUUACUGGGCGUAAAGAGCUCGUAGGUGGUUUGUCGCGUCGUCUGUGAAAUUCCCGGGCUUAACUCCGGGCGUGCAGGCGAUACGGGCAUAACUUGAGUACUGUAGGGGAGACUGGAAUUCCUGGUGUAGCGGUGAAAUGCGCAGAUAUCAGGAGGAACACCGGUGGCGAAGGCGGGUCUCGGGGCAGUAACUGACGCGGAGGAGCGAAAGCAUGGGUAGCGAACAGGAUUAGAUCCCCUGGUAGUCCAUGCCGUAAACGGUGGGCGCUAGGUGUAGGGGUCUUCCACGACUUCUGUGCCGUAGCUAACGCAUUAAGCGCCCCGCCUGGGGAGUACGGCCGCAAGGCUAAAACUCAAAUGAAUUGACGGG
rnacentral:rRNA from 1 species